CCUACGGGAGGCAGCAGUGAGGAAUAUUUGACAAUGGACGAGAGUCUGAACCAGCCAAGUAGCGUGAAGGAUGACUGCCCUAUGUGUUGAAAACUUCUUUUAUAAAGGAAUAAAACGAGGCACGUGUGCCUGUUUGCAUGUACUUCAUGAAUAAGGAUCGGCCAACUCCGUGCCAGCAGCAGCGGUAAUCCGGAGGGUCCGAGCGUUAUCCGGAUUUAUUGGGUUUAAAGGGAGCGUAGAUGGGUUGUUAAGUCAGUUGUGAAAGUUUGCGGCUCAACCGUAAAAUUGCAAUUGAUACUGGCAGUCUUGAGUACAGUUGAGGUAGGCGGAAUUCGUGGUGUAGCGGUGAAAUGCUUAGAUAUCACGAAGAACCCCGAUUGCGAAGGCAGCUUACUAAACUGUGACUGACAUUGAUGCUCGAAAGUGUGGGUAUCAAACAGGAUUAGAUACCCCUGUAGUC
rnacentral:rRNA from 1 species